rnacentral:rRNA from 1 species
AACGAACGCUGGCGGCAUGCCUAACACAUGCAAGUCGAACGAGACCUUCGGGUCUAGUGGCGCACGGGUGCGUAACGCGUGGGAACUUGCCCUUAGGUUCGGUAUCCCUCACUGAGGGGUGUGCUCAUACCGGAUAAUCUCUUCGCACCAACGAUCUAUCGCCUUUGGAUGGGCGCGCGUUGGAUUAGCCAGUUGGUAGGGUACAAGCCUACCAUGGGGACGUUCCUUAGCUGGUCGGUGAGCAUGAUCAGCCACACUGGGACUGAGACACGGCCCAGAAUCGGACGGAGGGCAGCAGAGGGGAAUAUUGGACGAGGGGGGAAAGCCUGAUCAAGCAGUGCCGGGGAAGUGGUGAAGGCCGUAGUGUUGUAAAGCUCUUUUAGCCGAGAUGUGAAUGACAGUACCGGGAGAAGAAGCUCCGGCUAACUACGUG